GAGUAGGGGGGUGUUAAUUCUAUUCUAUAUAAUUUUGAAAUUAGUGAGUAUAGUGUUAGAUGGUAGGGUAUUUAUUCAGUACAUUUGUUUCUUUUUCAAGUAAAGUAUAAGGGAGUUGUACUCCAGGCUAGUAGGUGGCGGUAAUGCAACAAAUUGGAUGCCAACCGCCGUUAAACCUCAGAAGAAGAAGAUUGUUUGGAACGUCAUUAGACGGAAAAGGAAGAACGUCAUUAGACGGAAGAGGAAGGAAAGUGUGUUUGAAACUAAACUCUCUAGUAACAACCAGCAUCAAACGUAACAUUGCUUGUCAAAUGGAUAUCAUUUCUCGUUAUGGUUUGUAGUUAUGCUGGCUUUGCUUCUGCUGUCUUUCUACAACAUCCGAAGUUUCCCUGGCACACAAACGUACUUGUUUCAUUUCGAAUGCUAAGCCGGACAGGAAAAUGGUCCAAUUCACACACUGAUCAAGACAACAUCCCUGGUCGUCCCUACUGCCUCUGAUCUGGAGGACUCACUAAACAGAGAACAUCCCUGGUCAUCCCUACUGCCUCUGAUCUGGAGGACUCACUAAACAGA